UACGGAUGGUGCGAGCGGUGUCCGGAAUCACUGGGCGUAAAGGGCGCGUAGGCGGCUCGGUAAGUAGGGGGUGAAAUCCUGCGGCUUAACCGCAGGGCUGCCUUCUAAACUGUCGAGCUCGAGCACGGUAGAGGCAGAUGGAAUUCCCGGUGUAGCGGUGGAAUGCGUAGAUAUCAGGAGGAACACCGGUGGCGAAGGCGGGUCUCUGGGCAACAACUGACGCUGAGGAGCGAAAGCGUGGGGAGCGAACAGG
rnacentral:rRNA from 1 species